rnacentral:rRNA from 1 species
AGAGUUUGAUCCUGGCUCAAAACGUACGCUGGCGGCACGCCUAACACAUGCAAGUCGAACGCUGUAGCUNUACUGAGUGGCAGACGGGUGAGUAACAUGUGGGAAUCUGCCUUGUGGUUCAGGACAACAUUGGGAAACCGAUGCUAAUACUGGAUAAGCCCUUACUGUGAAAGUUUUAAUGCCAUAAGAUGAGCCCGCAUUUGAUUAGUUAG